UACGUAGGGGGCAAGCGUUGUCCGGAAUCAUUGGGCGUAAAGCGCGUGUAGGCGGUCCGGUAAGUCGGCUGUGAAAGUCCAGGGCUCAACCCUGGGAUGCCGGUCGAUACUGCCGGACUAGAGUUCGGAAGAGGCGAGUGGAAUUCCCGGUGUAGAGCGGUGAAAUGCGCAGAUAUCAGGAAGAACACCUAUGGCGAAAGCAGCUCUCUGGGACGGUACUGACGCUGAGACGCGAAAGCGUGGGGAGCGAACAGG
rnacentral:rRNA from 1 species